UACGGAGGGUGCAAGCGUUAAUCGGAUUUAUUGGGCGUAAAGAGCACGUAGGCGGAGUGGAAAGUUAGAUGUGAAAUCCCGGGGCUCAACUCCGGACCCGCAUCUAAAACUCCCAUUCUAGAGGAUGGACGGAGAAAAGGGAAUUCCACGUGUAGCGGUGAAAUGCGUAGAUAUGUGGAAGAACACCGGUGGCGAAGGCGCUUUUCUAGCUUAUUCCUGACGCUGAGGUGCGAAAGCGAGGGGAGCAAAC
rnacentral:rRNA from 1 species